rnacentral:rRNA from 1 species
UACGUAGGGUGCGAGCGUUAAUCGGAAUUACUGGGCGUAAAGCGUGCGCAGGCGGUUUGUUGUGUCCGUCGUGAAAGCCCCGGGCUUAACCUGGGAACUGCGAUGGAAACUAGCGAGCUGGAGUGUGGCAGAGGGGGGUGGAAUUCCGCGUGUAGCAGUGAAAUGCGUAGAGAUGCGGAGGAACACCGAUGGCGAAGGCAGCCCCCUGGGCUAACACUGACGCUCAGGCACGAAAGCGUGGGGAGCAAACGGG